rnacentral:lncRNA from 1 species
GUACUAAUUUAAGAAGUUUCCCAAGUAGCUAGAUGGUGAGACUCUUCCAGGUCGCAGGGGUGGAAAUGGGGAGUGAGAAGAAGCAAUAAAGCUGAGCAGGUGCACACACUGGCAAGAGAGCUCUACUGGAGUCUUUGUAGUCAAUAGACCUGUUUGUUGAAGAAUUACUACCCUAAACUUGCAUGUUAAGCAGAAGAACUCCCAUUCAGAUGGUCACGGAUGAGGUGAAACAGGAAGAUGAUGAAGAAGAAAGGCUACCUCAAGGAAGGGACCAGACUAGAUAUACUCUCCAACAUCAUGCUUCCUAACUCACAUCCUUCAAGUCGGCCUCAUUUACUUUUCUCUAGUUGUUUUUCAGUUUAUUUCACUAAGAAAGGAAUUUACAAUAUUUACAUUUCCUGUCCUCAAAAGAAAGUCACUCUUACUGUGUACUUACAGACUGUGAAAGUAACCCAGAGUUAGAUAAAUGCUGAAUGAGAAAAGAAUUUGCAUUGGCUAGAGCCAGACAUUCAGCAUGGACUCAGAAAUGGGACUAAGGCAGAGAAACCUAGCACAAGUAGAACAAUUCACAUCAGCAAAUCUCUGCUUUGACAUCAAAGGAAAUUAUGUAGAGAAAGAGCAGAGGGUGUCUAAUGGGCAGCAGAGACCACCAGCGAAGAACAGCUGUCUUAUGAAACAGCAGGGAGGAGCGUUUCAGGAAGGACAAGAGGAACCCCAAAUAGAGGUCUGUAACAUGAAAAGGAUGUAUUUCUGUAGGGCAAAGGCAAAAUGAUUGUGAACUUCUGAAAGUAGUCUGUAAAAUGUAAAUGGGAAAACAGUUGAAAUAUAAACCAAACAGAAAUGUUCAAAGACAAUGCAAAUGAAAUUUAGAGUGAUAUUUAACUUGACUAUUUCUAAACAAACAUACAUAAUUAUUCAAAUGAAAGUUAAAAAGCACCAGAUACCAGUAUUUUCUUUAGGUAACAUUUUCAUGGAUAUUUGUAAGCAGCA